rnacentral:rRNA from 1 species
UACGGAGGGGGCAAGCGUUGUUCAGAAUUACUGGGCGUAAAGGGCGCGUAGGCGGCUUGGCAAGUUGGGCGUGAAAGCCCUGGGCUUAACCCAGGAAUUGCGCUUGAGACUGCUAGGCUUGAGUGCGGGAGAGGUGAGUGGAAUUCCCAGUGUAGAGGUGAAAUUCGUAGAUAUUGGGAAGAACACCAGUGGCGAAGGCGGCUCACUGGCCCGCAACUGACGCUGAGGCGCGAAAGCGUGGGGAGCAAACAGG